GGCCUCCAGCGAGCUCCGCGCGUCUGAGAAGGAGCUAAGGGCUCCCUGGUUCAAAGGGCCGCAGCCCCGAGGGAAUGCCCUCUUCGUGUGCCCCGGGGUGCAGAAGCAGACUGCAGGGCGGUGGGACCAGCCUGGGCCACGAAAGAAAAUGAACAGGGUGGGGUGUGAGGCAAAGGCACUGGAAGCUAUGCCUCUGAAAAACAGUCGUCCUGCGGAGAAAGGUCACCUACAGACAGUUGAAGAAAGAAAUGUCAUGCAAACUUGACAUCACGGAAGAAACAUGACAUGUGGAUUAUUAAAGAGCAACUGGCUGACUUUUAACCCUGGGUGCAUUGCUCAGACCCCAUUACCUGUGCAUUUAUACCGGGAAGAAUUACAGGGUAUAUGAGCCACAAAGAGGAGAUGACAAAGCAGAGAAUGAGGAACAAUAUACCCAUGGAAGGAGUUACAGAGACAAAGUUUGGAGCUGAGACGGAAGGAAUGGCCAUCCAGAGACUGUGACUGCCCCACCUGGGGAUCCAUUCCAUUUACAACCACCAAACCCAGACGCUAUUGCAUAUGCCAGAAAGAUUUUGCUGACAGGACCCUGAUAUAGCUCUCUCUUAUGAGGCUAUGCCAGUGCCUGGCAAAUAAAUACAGAAGUGGAUGCUCACAGUCAUCUAUUGGAUGGAACACAGGGACCCUAAUGAAGGAGCUAGAGAAAGUACCCAAGGAGCUGAAGGGGUCUGCAACCCUAUAGGAGGAACAACAAUAUGAACUAACCAGUAUCCCCCAGAGCUGUGUCUCUAGUUGUAUAUGUAGCAGAAGAUGGUCUAGUUGGCCAUCAAUGGGAGGAGAGGCCCUUGGUAUUGAAAAGAUCAUGUGCCCCAGUACAGGGGAAUGCUAGGGCCAGACAGAGGGGGUGGGUGGGUUGGGGAGUGGGAGUGGGAGGGUAUAGGGGGACUUUGGGAACAGCACUUGAAAUGCAAAUGAAGAAAAUAUCUAAUAAAAAAAAGUUCCCUGCCUGGCAUGCACUUAGUAAUUUGAGGCUGGUCUGUUCUAGAACUCCAGGUAAUGUAAGUGCAUAAUAAAGGCAUUUAAAAAGAAAUAACUGGCUAUGGGUUUGCAACUAAGUCAGUAGAGAAAUGCCUAGUGUAAAUGAGGUGGUGGGUUCGGGUUUUAGCACUGAUUUUCUUACUAGAAAUUCUACUUCUUUGGUUUCUUCUAAAUUAAAAGUGUUUAAUAAACUAAAGAAAUGACCUUCAAUGAUUAGUUCAUGUAUAGAAUACGUAAGAAUGCGACCACGUGAAUUUCUAGUCGUGUGUGCUUUUUCUAUAUAUGAAUCAAUUUACACAUUUUUGUGCUUUGUUAUUAAUAAUCUAUAUGAAUGUAGAGUUUUAGAUGAAUUUAAUGUCAACUAGGGAUUAAUGUGCAUUAAUUAAAUUGACAGUAUCUUCUCUAAUGAGAAAAAAGGAUUUAGUUGUAAUACUGAUGAUCUUAAUAAAGCUUUCCUCGACUUGUCUGUAUUUUCUCAACAUUAGAAAUUAUUUUUAUUAGAAGGUGAAGUGACUUAGUGCUGGCUAGGUGGCAAAACUCAGAUAAAUCAAGUGAUUGCAAACUGAUUUUGAUUUUGUUUUGGAGGUUGUCUAACCAAGCCUUGUAACUUUCAAUUAAAAAGGAAUCAAUUUGUGUCAGCCAUUUAAAAAUAAAAACACAAAUUGAACUCCACAUUUAGUUUUCUUUUGAGUAUUACGUAAGAUGGCUAGACAUUUGGAGCGAUUAGACGCAGGCUGUAUCUACAUGUUCAACAUCUUUGUUUGAAUCUUACAGAAUGUAAAAGCUGUAUUUGCCCAAAUGCUUUUCAAGUACAAUUCUUGUCACAGAAGGAACCAUAUUUUGUAAUAAAAUCUUGCUACAGAUCUGUGAAGACUCUGGAAUUAUUGUAUCAUCACUCUGAGAAAGAGCCAUAAUAUCCCAACACAUGUGGGAGUGCAAAAUUGUCCUGAUGUGUUGUUCCCUCCCAGGAAGCUAUCCACAUAAAAGACUGUGUGCCUCAGUUACAUUCACCAGACCCCCUGAGGUUCGGAUACCUCUCCUCACCCCUGACUCUUUGUUGUUGUUAAGAUAUGGUUUUUGUGAAGCUCAGACCAGGCUGGCCUCAGACUCACAAUCCUUUUUAUCUUUAUCUCUCCAAGUACCAUCAUGCUAACCCAAUUACUUUCGUUUUUUUAAUAGUAUUUCUUUUUUAAAAAAGAUUUAUUUAUGUAUUAUAUGUAAGUACAUUGUAGCUGUCUUCAGACACUCCAGAAGAGGGAGUCAGAUCUUGUUACAGACGGUUGUGAGCCACCAUGUGAUUGCUGGGAUUUGAACUCCGGACCUUCAGAAGAGCAGUCGGGUGCUCUUACCCACUGAGCCAUCUCACCAUCCCAUCCAAUUACUUUCUAACUUACAACUUCAUUAUUAUUUUGAAGUGGAAAAUUGAGGCAAGAAUGCAGCAAGAGGAGGAACU
rnacentral:lncRNA from 1 species